rnacentral:rRNA from 1 species
AUUGAACGCUGGCGGCAUGCCUUACACAUGCAAGUCGAACGGCAGCGGGCCUUCGGGUGCCGGCGAGUGGCGAACGGUGAGUAAUGCAUCGGAACGUGCCAUUGAGUGGGGGAUAACGUAGCGAAAGUUGCGCUAAUACCGCAUAUUCUGUGAGCAGGAAAGCAGGGAACCGCAAGGCCUUGCGCUCUUUGAGCGGCCGAUGUCAGAUUAGCUAGUUGGUGAGGUAAAGGCUUACCAAGGCGACGAUCUGUAGCGGGUCUGAGAGGAUGAUCCGCCACACUGGAACUGAGACACGGUCCAGACUCCUACGGGAGGCAGCAGUGGGGAAUUUUGGACAAUGGGGGCAACCCUGAUCCAGCCAUGCCGCGUGAGUGAAGAAGGCCUU